rnacentral:misc_RNA from 1 species
UGCGCUCUCUCAUGUUGUCUACUCCUGAAAACACUAGCAAGCAAACAUCUCACACCGCCUGCCCCCCCCCCCCCCAUCCUCCUCUAGUCGCUUUCUUUUGGUCUCUUCCGUUGUGCGUCAAUCGCACACACGCAGACCUCGCUCGUCACCCCCUUCGCGGUGUAGCGUAUCAAAGGACAUCCUGCCUCCUCCCCUUCUAUGCACGUGAGCGGAUUCAUCUCUUCAUCGUUCACUUUUGCUUUCCUUUCUUGUCGCUGUUGUGAGCUGCAUCUCCCCCCUGGACGUUUGUCCCUUUUCGGCUCGUCAUUGCCUUGCCCCCUCCCUUUUUCUUCGCUGGGCUUUGCUGUCACGAGCAAGCCAACCUGUGAACAAUUCCCUCGCUUGAUCAUCUUUCCCUGUGCGUCUCCUCUGCCAUCAUCUUUUGGGCGUAUUGUUUGCGUUCCACCCAGGAGGCCAAGCUGAACUACUUUUCCCCCACGUUCGCAUACCAACGCACCGGCAGCAGGUGUAACAGCACUCUGCAUCGUAGAACACUUCCCCCGCUUACCCACGCUCUACGGAUUGGCGCCUCUACAUCAAGAGCCAUGAGCUACACCAAAGCGCCCAGCUCUAUCGGUAAGAGCAAGUCCUCUUCCGGCAAGCGUCCGCCGAGUGGCGGCUCAGACCGCCACAAAUCGAGCAGCAAGCACUCGAGCCGCGUAUCGUCAUCGUCUGGCAGGCAUCCCCAGUCGUCAUCGUCCUCUGGCAAACACCGCUCCUCGGGCCGGUCCUCGGCGGAGCAAAAGCACUCUUCCUCUUCGAAGCCGGCCGCGCCAGCGCCGACGGAGGCCUCGCCGACCACCGCUGUCUCACGCCCGCCCGGUGCGGCUCCGAAGCCCGGGCCUGCCGGGACGCCAAGCAGCCCUUCGAAGCCCACCACCUCUAACGCGAUUGGAGCCGGCACGGCGCCAUCCUCGACUCACACGCUCUCCAGUGCUCCUCCGAACGAUGCCCCUGCUACCACACCGAGCUCUGCCACCAGGUCGAACGGUUUCGCCCAAGGUGGUGCUCCGCCAAAUAUCCAGCCCCUCGGAGGGUCUAUGAGAGAAGCCCCGAACGGCAUGUACGGCCUUGGUGCCGCGAGCGGCUACGGCGGCAUGGGCGGCAACCAGAACGGCAUGGUCAGCGGCCUCGGCUCCAUGGGUGGGGGUCAGGACGGCAUGGGCAGCUACGGCUCUAUGGCUGGCGGCGGUCCAGACGGCAUGAAUGGCAUGGGCGGCAACCCGAUGGGCUCCAUGUACGGCAUGGGCGGAAUGGGGUCGAUGUACGGCAUGGGCGGCAACCCGAUGGGCUCCAUGUACGGCAUGGGCGGAAUGGGGUCGAUGUACGGCAUGGGCGGCAACCCGAUGGGCUCCAUGUACGGCAUGGGCGGAAUGGGGUCGAUGUACGGCAUGGGAGGAAUGGGGUCGAUGUACGGCAUGGGCGGAAUGGGGUCGAUGUACGGCAUGGGCGGAAUGGGGUCGAUGUACGGCAUGGGCGGAAUGGGGUCGAUGUACGGCAUGGGCUUCGGCAGCAUGUACGGCGGCAGCUAUCACAGCUUGGUGGAUGCGGCGUCUCGCCGUGCGAGCUUCCUCAACAGGAACAACCUGAUUCGCGCCGAUGUGAAGCCUCUGAAUAGCGACACGAACGGCUGCAGCGGCGAGAAGGACGCUAAGAGCCCUGACGACAAGAAGGACGGGGACAAGAAGAACAGCAAGGGCCGCGAAGCCAAGCCCGAGGAGGCGAAGGGCGAUCCCAAGGACCCCAAGGCGGCGAAGAAGGAGGUCACCGACAAGGAGGUCACCUACAAGAAGGACAGCGCCGACAAGAAGCCGUCCGUUGAGGCGAAGCCUGCGGACAAGAAGGACACCAAGGUCACCAAGGAGUCCGACAAAAUGGAGGCCAAAGACAUGAACGGAGAGAAGAAGGACGGCGAGGCGCCAGUGGCCAAGUCUGACGGUCCCCUGAAGUUCAGCGGCACCAGGAUCCGCAGUCUCGCGCUUGUCUGCAAGUCUGGCAAGGGGGCGAAGGUGACCGUGAAGGGCAGGGACACCGUUGUGAUGGAGGACAAGGAGACAAAGCUCGACGAGGCCAUUCUCAUCGAGGGGUCGAAGAAGCCAGUGGAGGCAGCUGCGCUCUCGGAGGUGCGCAAUCAGUGGGUGUUGGGCCACAACGCCACCAUCAUGAUCGGCAGCGACGCAACGCGACGCACGCAGGCGGUGGAUUUCAUGUGUGAGUACCUGACCACGUGCACGGGCAAGUUGGCCGCCAGCGGUGAGUACUUCAGCAUCUACGUCACAAUGACGGCGCUCGAGGGCGCGGAUAAGGGCCGCGAUCUGCUGAAGGAGGACGCUGCCGUUGGAAAGCUUGCGCUCGCGUCGUCUCCGGUGUACGGUCCGGCGCUCAACAACAUGACGACGAAGGAGGUGAACACGAAGGAGACGAUGGAGGCGGUGCUCAAGGAGGGCAUGGGGCGCGCUAAGGAGGGUGAAAUGGUCUGCAGCUACCUAGUUCUGAAGCAGUGCCGCAAGAGUAGCGCCGGUGUGAUGGUUUACCUUUCCUCCCUGAACGUCACGUUCGUUGGCCCGAACGUGGAGCAUCUCAUCGGCCUCAAGGCCAAGAAGCCGGAGGAGCCGUGCCGCCUCUACCGCUACUCCGUCGGCGGUGGCAGUCACACCAUGUGUGUCGGCUUCGUCAGCGACGACGAGGCCUCUGCGGCCAAGGUCUUCGAUGCGCUCAGGGAAAUGCGCGAGGUUGAGAACACCGAGCCUCGCAGCGGCAACGUGAAGCGCUUCAUCGAGUACACAAAGAAGGAGAUCCCCAAGUGCAAGGAAAAGGUCUCCUCGACGACGGAGGAGAGCAAAAAGGCAGACUACGAGACGAUGCUGAAGCGGAUGGAGAUGAUGCUCAAGGACGCUGAGGCCAUCGAGAAGGACCCGAAGACGGUCGCCCCGAAGGCGUACGUGUAACGACGCGAAUAGGCAAGCGAAAAAAAAAUCGCCACCAAAAAGAGAUGAGAAAAGUCGGCGCGCGAGCGCCAAAUGCCAGAACGGGCGGGCGUGAGAGUUCAAGAACGUUGCGCGUACCUCGACACCUUUUUUUCCACGGCCCAUACCCUCGUGCUCCUGUGUGCACAUUUGACGGUGCAUGAUGUGCAGACCUGUGUGUGUGUGUGUCUGCGUGCUCGUUUCCCUUACUGUUGCGGUGACGGAUGUUGAAUGCCGGUGUUUCUUCUAGCACACACGGGUAUCUACAUCUACACGCACAAGCCUGUAGCCGUGUUGAUGUAUAUAUGUCCUUGCCUCCCCCUCACUCUCGGUGUGCUUCAUCUUCCAUUCGGUUGUUUAGGUCCUUUUGUUUUCACGGAUUUCUCUUUGCGUGUCUGUGGGGUUCUUG